rnacentral:rRNA from 1 species
AACGAACGCUGGCGGCAGGCUUAACACAUGCAAGUCGAACGGGUGUAGCAAUACGGCAGCGGCAGACGGGAGAGUAACACGUGGGAACGCGCCCUUCGGUUCGGAAUAACUCAGGGAAACUUGAGCUAAUACCGGAUACGCCCUUACGGGGAAAGAUUAAUUGCCGAAGGAACGGCCCGCGUCCGAUUAGCUUGUUGGUGAGGUAACGGCCCACCAAGGCGACGAUCGGUGCUUGGCCUGAGAGGAUGACAAGCCUCACUGGGACUGAGACACGGACCAGAGUCCUACGGGAGGCAGCAGUGGGUAGUAUUGGACAAUGGGCGCCAGCCUGAUCCAGCCAUGCCGCGUGGGGUAAGAAGCCUCUAGGCUUGUAAAGCCCUGUCAGCGGGUAAGAUAAUGACGGUACCCUCAGAAGAAGCCCCGGCUAACUUCGUGCCAGCCGCCGCGGUAAAAC